rnacentral:lncRNA from 1 species
CUUAACUGGCACAAAAAAUUACACUUCUGUAUGGAAAGAUAUGAUUAUAUGCUCUGUAGUUAUGUACAAUGAUAAGUUCAGUCAACAUAAUCCCUAACUCAGAAAGAGGAAACUCAAAAAAGAUCGAUGAAAAGAAGCUAACUCAUACUGCAUUUACCAAAAAGGUCAAAACAAUAAAGAGAUAUCGCACCUAGGGUUGACAUACAGGGAGUGAAAAUUGUGGGUCUUUGUCUUUAUCUUUACAGAAGGAGCAGUGCCUUUUGCCAUGAUCUCUAUCCUAGAAGUAUUGUUGGCAUGAGCAAAAAGAGAGCCUGAAAAGUAUGAGAUCUAUAAGAAAUAGCCCGGUGACAAGAAUCCAUGCCAAUGACGAGGUUUCAAUUCAAAAAAAGCAUUAAAAGACCUUCGGGUGGCUUGUAAAUCAAGCUUGAGAAGAAUGUCCAUACCAAAACAAAAGAAUUCGCUUAGGCGUCUACUUUCUAUUGGCCAGAGUCAUUGCCAAUAGUUUGCCUCCAUAUACCCAGUCAACGGGUGCACCAUCCCAGCUGUACUGCCAAUCCCAGCAACUCUCUGAGGUAAAACUGGAAGACGGCCCCCCAUUGGAAUUACACAAUGCUCUUCCUCUUCAAUGCUUCUAAUAUUUAUACCUAAGUGACUCAGCCGAGCUACCAUUCAUUCCUUAGUGUCAUCCACAGGAACUCCAGGACGAGCUACAAGGGAUGUUUCUUCAAGGAAUAUUCUUUUCGAUGAAAAUAGCGUUGCACAGAGAAAAGUUGGAAUCUUGCUAUUUCUCUCCUUCAGCUCUUUAUUAUUGUUGAGAUGUGAGUCAUUCCAAUCCAUGAAAACCAUUUUAUUUACAUCAACAGGGUGUUCUUCCACUUCUGCUCAAAUCCUGUAAGCUAUACAAGGCUUAUCAUACUGUGCAAGACAUCUGGAAAAUCCGGUCGCAUCAAGAACCACAGCAGCAGCCUGAAUGGUAACACCAUCAUCGCAAAUCAACAAAGAUUUUGAUUCCUAGUGAGUUACUUUCACAAUCUUAGCUUGAUGAAAUUUGACGCCAUUCAAAAUGAAUUUCUACAUCAUUUUCGAUUUCAGCUGGUUCCUGUUAGCCUCCCACGAGGUCUAUCAAGAUCUUUAGUUGUCUUGUCGUCAAUGAAAACCAUAGCACCCGACCAGGAGGCGUCAAGACAAUCCAACAAAUCCGUGCCCUCAAAUUCAUCAACCCAAACAACGUAAUUAUUGGGGCCAUAUCAAUUUGGGUAAAGGAUCAAUCGAGCAAACUCAUAGCCCAGCUUCUGAAACAUGCUGUGCGACCGCUAGUCCUGCAGGGCCACCACCUACAACAGCUAGAUCCACCACAAGGCCCUUAGAAGGAUCAUACAUGGGAAUCUCAAAUUCAAAAUUUUCCUGGUUUCAGGCACAAGUUCCAAAAGGGUACUAGAACUGGCGUUAACACAAACACUUUUCCCCAAUUUUAUAUGUUCUCUUUUCGAAUCAAACCUAACGUCCUGAUUCUGAGGCUUCAAGGAACCAAAGGCGCUAACUUUAUUUGCAAACCCUUGACGUGGGUGCAAAAAUUUUAGCUUAUUAUGAGUUUUAAAAAAAUAAUAAUAAUAAAUAAAUUUCAAAUGGGUCGCUUAACUCUCGAAAAUGACAAUCAAAAUUCCACGAAUUUCUUGGAUUCUCAAAGCAGAGCUAUCAACUCAUUGCAAUAAUUGAUGAACAAAUUCUGCAUAUACAAGAUUUAAGGCAAUAAAUAAUGGUACAAAAGAACUGGAGAAAAUAAAAAUCUCAUAAAAAAUAUUCAAUAAAUCCCCUGUCAACCAGUUGUGGAAUGUGACCAGAACUGCAUCUUUGGCAUGAGUAGAAUAGUUUUGAAAAAUAGGCGUUGCACCAUCCAACUUAGCUGUAUUUAACAUUGAUUUUCCUUCAUCAGCGACGAACAGAAACCGGAGUAUCUUAGCUGGUUUAGGUCCCCUUUUCCCUGGGAGUCCCGAGAGUUCCACGGUUUUAUCUUCUUCUUCCUCUACCGAAGAGAUCCCAGCAUCAUAACGUCUAAACAACGCUAAGCUCCCAUUGAUGGCCAUUAUAUAAAUAAAAUAAUAAUAAUAAAAAAUUAAAUAGUAAAAUUUUGAAAAAUAUGCGGUUGAAAAAUAGAAAAGUCUUGAAUUUACUUGCAUUAUGUUUUAACGGGUAAAUGUGUAAAUGAAAACGACUAUUAAAAAAAAAAAAAUUAAAAAAAAGGCCCAUCAAAUAUGGUUUAAACCUCAUUUGAGGCCCCUUUUUGGGUUUUGGCCUAAUGAUUUUUGAGAAAAUUGUAGCAGCGGUCCCUAACCUUUUAUUUUUUGCAAACCUUACUCUAAUUUUUAAUUUAUGCCAAUCACAGUCCCAAAUUUUUCAAAAAUAUGCAUUUGAAAUCCAAAUGGAUGGAAACCGUUCAUCUGAUCGUUAGUUGACCAAUAAAAUUGAAUUUUUACCAAUUUAAAAGGAUAAAAAGACAACUUUGCUAUUUAACCCUAUAAAACAAUCAAAAUAAAUAAUUAAAACAAAAUAAAAAUAAAAGAAAAAAACUAUUCACCUCCAACCCCAUCCCAUUGCUGAAUCCACCGAAACAAGACCUUUUCCUCCGUCGAACACCGCUAUCCAUAGGGUUGAGAUCCGAAGAGCGCAAUUUCUCCUUCAAAAUACUCUCCGUCAUGGAAAACAGUGACAUCUCGUCCACCACCAUCUCCACUUUUUCCUGCUCCAACCUCGAUCGACCUUCCCUCCAGCAUCAUCACCCACUCACACUAACUGCAAGAAAAAGAAGAGAAAAUAAAAGAGGAACGAUUUCGG